AGACAGUAAGACAGUAUGACAGUAAGACAGUAGGAGAGUAAGACAGUAGGACAGUAAGACAGUAGGACAGUAAGACAGGUAGACAGUAGGACAGUAAGACAGUAGGAGAGUAUGACAGUAGGACAGUAAGACAGUAGGACAGUAAGACAGUAAGACAGUAAGACAGUAAGACAGUAAGACAGUAAGACAGUAAGACAGUAGGAGAGUAUGACAGUAGGACAGUAAGACAGUAGGAGAGUAAGACAGUAGGAGAGUAAGACAGUAAGACAGUAGGACAGUAAGACAGUAGGACAGUAAGACAGUAGGAGAGUAAGACAGUAAGACAGUAGGACAGUAAGACAGUAGGACAGUAAGACAGUAGGACAGUAAGACAGUAGGAGAGUAUGACAGUAGGACAGUAAGACAG
ensembl:lncRNA